rnacentral:rRNA from 1 species
AUUGAACGCUGGCGGCAGGCCUAACACAUGCAAGUCGAACGAGUGGCGGACGGGUGAGCAAUGUCUGGGAAACUGCCUGACGGAGGGGGAUAACUACUGUAAACGGUAGCUAAUACCGCAUACCAUCAGAUGUGCCUAGAUGGGAUUAGCUUGGUGGUGGGGUAACGGCUAACCAAGGCGACGAUCCGUAGCUGGUCUGAGAGGAUGACCGGCCACACUGGAACUGAGACACGGUCCAGACUCCUACGGGAGGCAGCAGUAGGGAAUAUUGCGCAAUGGGCGAAAGCCUGAUGCAGCCAUGCCGCGUGUAUGAAGAAGGCCUUCGGGUUGUAAAGUUCUUUCGGCGGAGAAGCGUUACCCGCAGAAAAAGCAACGGCUAACUACGUGCCAGCAGCCGCGGUAAUUC